GAACGCUGAAACCAGAGCUUGCUUUGGUGGAUGAGUGGCGAACGGGUGAGUAACACGUGGGUGAUCUGCCCUACACUUUGGGAUAAGCCUGGGAAACUGGGUCUAAUACCGAAUAUUCACACCACCGUAGGGGUGGUGUGGAAAAGCUUUAUGCGGUGUGGGAUGAGCCUGCGGCCUAUCAACUUGUUGGUGGGGUAAUGGCCUACCAAGGCGUCGACGGGUAGCCGGCCUGAGAGGGUGUACGGCCACAUUGGGACUGAGACACGGCCCAGACUCCUACGGGAGGCAGCAGUGGGGAAUAUUGCACAAUGGGCGCAAGCCUGAUGCAGCGACGCCGCGUGGGGGAUGAAGGCCUUCGGGUUGUAAACUCCUUUCGCUAGGGACGAAGCCUUUUAGGUGACGGUACCUGGAGAAGAAGCACCGGCUAACUACGUGCCAGCAGCCGCGGUAAUACGUAGGGUGCGAGCGUUGUCCGGAAUUACUGGGCGUAAAGAGCUCGUAGGUGGUUUGUCGCGUCGUCUGUGAAAUCCCGGGGCUUAACUUCGGGCGUGCAGGCGAUACGGGCAUAACUUGAGUGCUGUAGGGGAGACUGGAAUUCCUGGUGUAGCGGUGAAAUGCGCAGAUAUCAGGAGGAA
rnacentral:rRNA from 1 species